rnacentral:tRNA from 1 species
GAUGGUGUAGCUCAGUGGUGGAUCAGUUGGCUGUUAACCAACUGGUCGAUGUGUGGAAUCUGUCCACCAUCGGCA